AACGAACGCUGGCGGCAUGCCUAACACAUGCAAGUCGAACGUGAUCCGGGACUUCGGUUUCGGUGAAAGUGGCGGACGGGUGAGUAACGCGUGGGAACCUGCCCAGUGGUAGGGGAUAACCGCGGGAAACUGCGGCUAAUACCCUGUGUGCCCUGCGGGGCAAAGAUUCAUCGCCAUUGGAGGGGCCCGCGUCGGAUUAGGUAGUUGGUGGGGUAACGGCCUACCAAGCCUUCGAUCCGUAGCUGGUCUGAGAGGAUGAUCAGCCACACCUGGGACUGAGACACGGCCCAGACUCCUACGGGAGGCAGCAGUGGGGAGUAUUGGACAAUGGGGGCAACCCUGAUCCAGCAAUGCC
rnacentral:rRNA from 1 species